rnacentral:rRNA from 1 species
UACGAAGGGGGCUAGCGUUGCUCGGAAUUACUGGGCGUAAAGGGAGCGUAGGCGGAUAUUUAAGUCGGGGGUGAAAGCCCAGGGCUCAACCCUGGAACUGCCUUCGAUACUGGAUAUCUAGAGUAUGGGAGAGGUGUGUGGAACUCCGAGUGUAGAGGUGAAAUUCGUAGAUAUUCGGAAGAACACCAGUGGCGAAGGCGACACACUGGCCCAUUACUGACGCUGAGGCUCGAAAGCGUGGGGGAAGCAAACAGG